AUGUUGUCAGCUAAGUUCACUUCUGAACUAAGGGGUUCCUCCAAAUGUUGGCUGAAAUUUGUCCUUGCACAUCCCAAGGCUCGUCUGCAAAGUCUACAAUUCAUAAUGGAGCUACUGUACUGGCUAUUGGAAGGAGGAGAUUCUGAAGAUAAGGAGGGAGCAAAGUUUGUCAUCAUGAUACACUAGAUCUUCGAUGAUAUCAAUAAGGAAACAUCCACAGCCUUUGGUUAAAAGACUCUGAGACUUCAAGGACUGCUGACUGUCCAGAAGAGGCUGUGGUGGUUCAAGUGAGGCUUAAGGCUGUAGUUACACCAAUCUGUCACUCCAGAAGAGUCCAAGGCUGCUGAUCAGAGUGAACCUCAGAACAGAUAGCAGUGGCACCUAGAGGGUAUAACCUCAACAGCAGACGAGGUGUUGAUGGAUGAUUCCUGAUUAUGGAUUCCUCUUCAUCUCUCUUAAUUUAUAUUCCAAGCUGUUAACCUAGAAUAAAUCCUACCAUAUCUAAUUAAUGCACUAAUCAAACUUUGUUUUGAAUGGAAGAGGGGAAAAUAUGUUGAUUACCCCUGCUAGAGGGAUAGGAAAUAUGCCUAAAGCAGAAUAUCUUUCUCCAUCAUGAAUAACAUUAAUCUCUGUAGUUCUCACAAGUGAAUAAUUAUUAUAUAGUUUGCUUCCUAGUUGUAUGGCUUGGUAUUUAUCCUUUAUGAGUUUCCAGGUGACAAUUUGUUUCAGGAAGAAUUCUCUCCAGAAACAAUUUUUUAAGAUUAUCGUUGAAUUCCUUAAUAAAGAGUUGAAAGCCAAACUCACACUAGGUUAAAUGCAACAACAACCAAUGGACAACAGACUGAUCUCCAACUUCCUCAAUUCUUUUUUUUUUUUUUUUUUUUGAGACAGGGUUUCACUCUGUCGACAAGGCUGGAGUGCAGUGGCUCAAUCUCGGCUCACUGUAACCUCCGC
rnacentral:lncRNA from 1 species